CCGGAAAGUUCGUCAAACUCGGUCAUUUAGAGGAAGUAAAAGUCGUAACAAGGUCUCCGUAGGUGAACCUGCGGAGGGAUCAUUACACAAAAAAAUAUGAAGGCGAAGCGGCCUCGUGUCGCGGAGCCGAAUUAUUUUUCACCCAUGUCUUUUGCGCACUUGCUGUUUCCUGGGCGGGUUCGCCCGCCACCAGGACCCAACGUUCAACCUUUUGUUUCGUGCAAUCAGCGUCAGUACAAUGUAAUUUAUUACAACUUUCAACAACGGAUCUCUUGGUUCUGGCAUCGAUGAAGAACGCAGCGAAAUGCGAUACGUAGUGUGAAUUGCAGAAUUCAGUGAAUCAUCGAAUCUUUGAACGCACAUUGCGCCCUUUGGUAUUCCAAAGGGCAUGCCUGUUCGAGCGUCAUUUGUACCCUCAAGCUUUGCUUGGUGUUGGGCGUUGUUGUCUCUGGGCCUGCCCCGGAGACUCGCCUCAAAACGAUUGGCAGCCGGCCUACUGGUUUCGGAGCGCAGCACAUCUUUGCGCUUUCAAUCACUGGACGGCACUCCAUCAAGUCUACCUUUUUUUUACUUUUGACCUCGGAUCAGGUAGGGAUACCCGCUGAACUUAAGCAUAUC
rnacentral:sRNA from 1 species